UACAGAGGGUGCGUUCGUUAAUCGGAAUUACUCGGCGUAAAGCGCACGUAGGUGGCGACGUAAGUCAGGUGUGAAAGCCCCGGGCUCAACCUGGGAAUUGCAUUCGAGACUGCAUUGCUGGAGUACGGAAGAGGAGGGCGGAAUUCCCGGUGUAGCGGUGAAAUGCGUAGAUAUUGGGAGGAACAUCAGUGGCGAAGGCGGCCCUCUGGUCCAGUACUGACACUCAAGUGCGAAAGCGUGGGGAGCAAACAGG
rnacentral:rRNA from 1 species